UACGUAGGGUCCGAGCGUUGUCCGGAAUUACUGGGCGUAAAGAGCUCGUAGGUGGUUUGUCGCGUUGUCCGUGAAAUUCCCUGGCUUAACUGGGGGCGUGCGGGCGAUACGGGCAGACUGGAGUACUGCAGGGGAGACUGGAAUUCCUGGUGUAGCGGUGGAAUGCGCAGAUAUCAGGAGGAACACCGGUGGCGAAGGCGGGUC
rnacentral:rRNA from 1 species